GACGGAGGGUGCUAGCGUUGUUCGGAAUUACUGGGCGUAAAGCGUGCGUAGACGGUCAUGUAAGUCGGGUGUGAAAGCCCCGGGCUCAACCUGGGAAUUGCAUUCGAGACUGCAUGGCUAGGAUGCGGAAGAGGGAAGCGGAAUUUCCGGUGUAGCGGUGAAAUGCGUAGAUAUCGGAAGGAACACCAGUGGCGAAAGCGGCUUCCUGGUCCAGCAUCGACGUUCAGGCACGAAAGCGUGGGGAGCAAACAGG
rnacentral:rRNA from 1 species